ensembl:rRNA 5S_rRNA 5S ribosomal RNA
GUCUACAGCCAUGCCACCCAGAACACACCCAGUCUCCUCUGAUCUCAGAUGCUUUGCAGGGUAAGCCUGGUCAGGACUCAGAUCGGAGUGUAUUCACUGCUUACAAGGGAUUGCUAACU